UACGUAGGGGGCAAGCGUUGUCCGGAAUCAUUGGGCGUAAAGCGCGUGUAGGCGGCCCGGUAAGUCCGCUGUGAAAGUCCAGGGCUCAACCCUGGGAUGCCGGUGGAUACUGUCGGGCUCGAGUCCGGAAGAGGCGAGUGGAAUUCCUGGUGUAGCGGUGAAAUGCGCAGAUAUCAGGAGGAACACCAAUGGCGAAGGCAGCUCGCUGGGACGUGACUGACGCUGAGACGCGAAAGCGUGGGGAGCGAACCGG
rnacentral:rRNA from 1 species